CUGCUGCCUUCCAUAUUUGGAAUGAAGAGGUUGAGGGUCUAGCAGAGAAGGAAUGAAGUUAAACUCUAUGUGAGCUUCACAUGUGAGCUUCAACAAGUCACAAGUGUCCAAGCCUCAGUGAACUCAUCUGUAAAAUGGAGCCCAUCUUCCAGGUGUUGAGAGGAUGUUUUGAAGGCAUUACCAUCUAACAUGGGGCUUCUUCUC
rnacentral:lncRNA from 1 species